rnacentral:ribozyme from 1 species
AAAAAAAGAAAGAGAGAGAAGAAACAUUUUGUGUCGGUGACACGAGCUUUUACGUUCGUUCUCCCCGGCACGCCAACUCAUGUUCUUUUUUUUUUUUUUUUUUUUUUUUUUUU